rnacentral:tRNA from 1 species
AGCAGUAUGGCGCAGUUGGAAGCACGCAGGGCUCAUGAUCUGAUAACCCCUGAGGUCCCUCGGUCAAAGCGAGGUGCUGCUU